rnacentral:rRNA from 1 species
CUAUACAUGCAGUCGAGCGGACCGACGGGAGCUUGCUCCCUUAGGUCAGCGGCGGACGGGUGAGUAACACGUGGGUAACCUGCCUGUAAGACUGGGAUAACUCCGGGAAACCGGGGCUAAUACCGGAUGCUUGAUUGAACCGCAUGGUUCAAUCAUGAAAGGCGGCUUCGGCUGCCGUUUACAGAUGGACCCGCGGCGCAUUAGCUAGUUGGUGAGGUAACGGCUCACCAAGGCGACGAUGCGUAGCCGACCUGAGAGGGUGAUCGGCCACACUGGGACUGAGACACGGCCCAGACUCCUACGGGAGGCAGCAGUAGGGAAUCUUCCGCAAUGGACGAAAGUCUGACGGAGCAACGCCGCGUGAGUGAUGAAGGUUUUCGGAUCGUAAAGCUCUGUUGUUAGGGAAGAACAAGUACCGUUCGAAUAGGGCGGUACCUUGACGGUACCUAACCAGAAAGCCACGGCUAACUACGUGCCAGCAGCCGCGGUAAUACGUAGGUGGCAAGCGUUGUCCGGAAUUAUUGGGCGUAAAGCGCGCGCAGGCGGUUUCUUAAGUCUGAUGUGAAAGCCCCCGGCUCAACCGGGGAGGGUCAUUGGAAACUGGGGAACUUGAGUGC